UACGUAGGGGGCAAGCGUUGUCCGGAUUUAUUGGGCGUAAAGAGCUCGUAAGCGGCUUGUCGCGUCGACUGUGAAAACCCGUGGCUCAACCAUGUGGUCUGCAGUCGAUACGGGCAGGCUAGAAUUCGGUAGGGGAGACUGGAAUUCCUGGUGUAGCGGUGAAAUGCGCAGAUAUCAGGAGGAACACCGGUGGCGAAGGCGGGUCUCUGGGCCGAUAUUGACGCUGAGGAGCGAAAGCGUGGGGAGCGAACAGG
rnacentral:rRNA from 1 species